rnacentral:rRNA from 1 species
CCAAUAGCGUAUAUUAAAGUUGUUGCAGUUAAAAAGCUCGUAGUUGAAUUUCGGGAUCAGCAGGUUGGUCGUGCCUCUGGUAUGUACUGAUUUCGAUGGUUCCUCCUUCUUGUAGAACCGUAAUGCCAUUAAUGUGGUGGUGCGGGAAAACAGGACUGUUACUUUGAAAAAAUUAGAGUGUUUAGAGCAGGCAAUCGCGUGAAUACAUUAGCAGGGAAUAAGGAAAUAGGACGUUUGAUCCUAUUUUGUUGGUUUCUAGGAUUGACGUAAUGAUUAAUAGGGAUAGUUGGGGGCAUUAUUAUUCAAUUGUCAGAGGUGAAAUUCUUGGAUUUAUUGAAGACUGACUACUGCGAAAGCAUUUGCCAAGGAUGUUUUCAUUAAUCAAGAACGAAAGUUAGGGGAUCGAAGACGAUCAGAUACCGUCGUAGUCUUAACCAUAAACUAUGCCGACUAGGGAUCGGAUGAUGUUAAUUUUUUAAUGACUCAUUCGGCGCCUUACG